AGAGUUUGAUCAUGGCUCAGAACGAACGCUGGCGGCGUGGAUAAGACAUGCAAGUCGAGCGCUGAUUACAGGGUAGCAAUAUUCUGUGGUCGGAGCGGCGCAAGGGUGCGUAACACGUGGAAUCUGCCAUGAAGUUUGGAAUAACUUGCUGAAAAGGCGAGCUAAUACCGGAUGUAAAAAUCGAAAGGCAUCUUUUGAUUUUCAAAGCUGGGGACCGUAAGGCCUGGCGCUUCAUGAUGAGCCCGCGGCCUAUCAGCUAGUUGGUGAGGUAACGGCUCACCAAGGCUAAGACGGGUAGCUGGUCUGAGAGGACGACCAGCCACACUGGAACUGAGACACGGUCCAGACACCUACGGGUGGCAGCAGUCGAGAAUUUUUCACAAUGGGCGCAAGCCUGAUGGAGCGACGCCGCGUGGGGGAUGAAUGGCUUCGGCCCGUAAACCCCUGUCAUUUGCGAGCAAUUCGCAUUAUUUAAAAGAUGAUGCGUUGAUAGUAGCGAAAGAGGAAGGGACGGCUAACUCUGUGCCAGCAGCCGCGGUAAUACAGAGGUCCCAAGCGUUGUUCGGAUUCACUGGGCGUAAAGGGUGCGUAGGUGGCGAGGUAAGUCGGAUGUGAAAGCUCGGAGCUCAACUCCGAAAUGGCAUUGGAAACUACCUUGCUCGAGGGUUGGAGGGGGGACUGGAAUGCUUGGUGUAGCAGUGAAAUGCGUAGAUAUCAAGCGGAACACCAGUGGCGAAGGCGAGUCCCUGGACAACUCCUGACACUGAGGCACGAAAGCUAGGGGAGCAAACAGGAUUAGAUACCCUAGUAGUCC
rnacentral:rRNA from 1 species